rnacentral:sRNA from 1 species
GCUGGGCAUGGUGGCGCAUGCCUGUAAUCCCAGCUACUCUGGAGGCUGAGGCAGGAGAAUCGCUUGAACCCAGGAGGCGGAGGUUGCGUGAGCCGAGAUUGCGCCACUGCACUCCAGCCUGGGCAACAGAGCGAGACUCCGUCUCAA